rnacentral:lncRNA from 1 species
UUGCUUUUCAAGCAACUAAACACUAAAAUGUACAGCAAAAGGGCAUUAUCAUACACAAAUACAUAAAUGUCUUGCAUGAAAUUGAUGUCAUGUUUGUAAUCUUUCACAUUUCAGAGCAUAGAAGUUCUAAACAUUAGAAUUCCGUUUACUGUAAGACGUAUUUAUUUGCAGUUUGUUAAGUUCUCAUGAGAAUUACAGAACUUGAAUUGCUGAUGAGAAUAACUUUCUCUGAGAUUAACAAGCAUAUCACCGAGUUUGCCAGCCUUAUAAGACACCGUGAAAACAGUAUUUCAUAAUAAAAUGAAUUAAGGGCAAAUACUUUGCAACUUACUGAUUCUGGGCAGCUUUGUUAAACGUUCCCUCCUCCAAUCCUUGUCCAGAGUUUGGUGUCCCACCAGCUCCUGAAUACAGUUGAAAAUCUGCAGACUGCCCUUCUGUUUGGGAAGGAACCAGAUCAUGAACCCAUGGUCCUUACCACUCAUUCUGCCACAAUGUACAUAAACAGAUUACAAACAGAAAAUAUGGACGGUACAUCCAUUAACAUCUCCAGUUCCAGCUCUGCCAGCUUUACUCUCCCAACUGCUUCCUCUCUUGGUAUUUCAGGGGUGGAUGAUGAAACAGUGGAUAUAAGGGCAAGUAAACAGCUUUUAUGUGACUCAAUCUGAUCUACAAUUUACAUUCUUGGUCUAGCAAUUUUAGAGUCCUUUCUCCUUUUAGAAUGAGUACGCAAGCACACAAGUCAUCCCUUCCUUUUUGGUCAAAGAAGCUUUCACUUAUCUUAAUUUCAUGAAGUUGGCUGAGCAAGCUUAAACGCCCCAUCCCCUCAGCCUCUCACAUACACUCUUGCUUUAUGCUUGCAUGGUUAGAGAAGGUGAUGGAAUCAACACUACAAACCUAUUUGCUGUUUGUUUACAUCUAAUGCUCUGAGAGAGACAUAACAGCUCAGAGUCCUUAUCAGCAUUCAAACUAACAGGCAGCAAUCCUCUUUCAUCCAAGCUAGAAACAAAUGAGUCUGAGGCACUCAGAUCCUGCAGGAGACAGAAAGUCUCCAAAUGUCCGAAUUAUAGCACAGCUGUGAUCUGAGUUAGGUUUCAUUGUGUCUUUUCCAGUUCUGACAAAAAAAUGUCCAGAACCUCCUUAUAACAAUGGCAGUAUAUUCACCUGAGUGUUAGGAGAGGCUAC